rnacentral:rRNA from 1 species
UACAGAGGUCUCAAGCGUUGUUCGGAUUCAUUGGGCGUAAAGGGUGCGUAGGUGGCGCGCUAAGUCAGGUGUGAAAUCUCGGGGCUUAACUCCGAAACUGCAUUUGAUACUGGCGUGCUUGAGGACUGGAGAGGAGACUGGAAUUCAUGGUGUAGCAGUGAAAUGCGUAGAGAUCAGGAGGAAGACCAGUGGCGAAGGCGGGUCUCUGGACAGGUCCUGACACUGAGGCACGAAGGCCAGGGGAGCAAACGGG